rnacentral:rRNA from 1 species
AUUGAACGCUGGCGGCAGGCCUAACACAUGCAAGUCGAGCGAGCGGCGGACGGGUGAGUAAUGUCUGGGAAACUGCCUGAUGGAGGGGGAUAACUACUGGAAAAGGUAGCUAAUACCGCAUACCCUCAGAUGUGCCCAGAUGGGACUAGCUAGUAGGUGUGGUAACGGCUCACCUAGGCGACGAUGCCUAGCUGGUCUGAGAGGAUGACCAGCCACACUGGAACUGAGACACGGUCCAGACUCCUACGGGAGGCAGCAGUGGGGAAUAUUGCGCAAUGGGCGAAAGCCUGAUGCAGCGAUGCCGCGUGUGUGAAGAAGGCCUUCGGGUUGUAAAGCACUUUCAGCGGGGAGGCGUUACCCGCAGAAGAAGCACCGGCUAACUCCGUGCCAGCAGCCGCGGUAAUAC